AAUAGAUACCCGUGGUAGUCCACGCCGUAAACGGUGGGCGCUAGGUGUGGGGCACGUUUCCACGUGCUCUGUGCCGCAGCUAACGCAUUAAGCGCCCCGCCUGGGGAGUACGGCCGCAAGGCUAAAACUCAAAGGAAUUGACGGGGGCCCGCACAAGCGGCGGAGCAUGCGGCUUAAUUCGAAGCAACGCGGAGAACCUUACCAAGGCUUGACAUAUAGGGAAAUCUCAUAGAGAUAUGAGGUCCGCAAGGGCCCUAUACAGGUGGUGCAUGGUUGUCGUCAGCUCGUGUCGUGAGAUGUUGGGUUAAGUCCCGCAACGAGCGCAACCCUCGUUCUAUGUUGCCAGCACGUAAUGGUGGGGACUCAUAGGAGACUGCCGGGGUCAACUCGGAGGAAGGUGGGGAUGACGUCAAAUCAUCAUGCCCCUUAUGUCUUGGGCUGCACGCAUGCUACAAUGGAUGGUACAGAGGGCUGCGAUACCGUAAGGUGGAGCGAAUCCCACAAAGCCAUUCUCAGUUCGGU
rnacentral:rRNA from 1 species